UACGAUCAUCUCACUUUAAAAUACCAGUUCCCGUACGAUCUCCGAAGUUAAACAACAUGGAGUCUGGUCAGUACUUAGAUGGGUGAAAGCGUGUGAAUAGCAAGUGCUGU